UUUAAUUGAAUGCUAAAAGAAUGGAAAUUUAAAAAAAAACUUUUUUAAAAAUAAAAAUUGAAUUUUUUUUAAUUUGUGCAAAAACAAUUAUUAUUAUUAAAGACAAGAAGACCCUAAGAAUUUAUGAUUUUACAAUUAGAAUUUUUUUCAAAAAAUCUUGAUUGGGGCGAUCAAAAAAUAUUAAUAACUUUUUAAAUUUAAAUUGAUCUAUUAUUAAUAAACUAAUGAAUUAAAUACUCUAGGGAUAACAGCGUAAUAAUUUUUGAUAGAUCUUAUUGACAAAAUAGUUUGCGACCUCGAUGUUGGAUUAGGAUCCUUUUUUAAUGAAGAAGUUAAAAAAAGAAGUUUGUUCAACUUUUAAAUUCCUACUUGAUC
rnacentral:rRNA from 1 species